GCAGUCGUGGUUGAGUGGUUAAGGCGAUGGACUAAAAAUCCAUUGGGGUCUCCCCGCACAGGUUUGAAUCCUGUCGACUAUGCA
rnacentral:tRNA from 1 species